rnacentral:rRNA from 1 species
AACGAAUGCUGGCGGCAUGCCUAACACAUGCAAGUCGAACGAAGUGGCGCACGGGUGCGUAACGCGUGGGAAUCUGCCCUUAGGUUCGGAAUAACAGCUGGAAACGGCUGCUAAUACCGGAUGCCUGAGGAUGAGCCCGCGUUGGAUUAGGUAGUUGGUGGGGUAAAGGCCUACCAAGCCGACGAUCCAUAGCUGGUCUGAGAGGAUGAUCAGCCACACUGGGACUGAGACACGGCCCAGAAUCCUACGGGAGGCAGCAGUGGGGAAUAUUGGACAAUGGGCGAAAGCCUGAUCCAGCAAUGCCGCGUGAGUGAUGAAGGCCCUAGGGUUGUAAAGCUCUUUCAGCGAGGAGGACUUAAUACGUUCAUCAAUUGACGUUACUCGCAGAAGAAGCACCGGUAACUCCGUGCCAGCCGCCGCGGUAAUAC